rnacentral:rRNA from 1 species
CCUACGGGCGGCAGCAGUGAGGAAUAUUGGUCAAUGGACGCAAGUCUGAACCAGCCAUGCCGCGUGCAGGAAGACGGCUCUAUGAGUUGUAAACUGCUUUUGUACGAGGGUAAACGCAGAUACGCGUAUCUGUCUGAAAGUAUCCUACGAAUAAGGAUCGGCCAAAUCCGUGCCAGCAGCCGCGGUAAUACGGAGGAUUCAAGCGUUAUCCGGAUUUUUUGGGGUUAAAGGGUUCGUAGGCGGUCGGAUAAGUUAGAGGUGAAAUCCUGGGGCUCAAACUCGGAAUUGCCUCUGAUACUGUUCGUCUAGAGAGUAGUUGCGGUAGGCGGAAUGUAUGGUGUAGCGGUGAAAUGCUUAGAGAUCAUACAGAACACCGAUUGCGAAGGCAGCUUACCAAGCUACUUCUGACGUUGAGGCACGAAAGCGUGGGGAGCAAACAGGAUUAGAUACCCUGGUAGUC